GGUUAAGCGACUAAGCGUACACGGUGGAUGCCCUGGCAGUCAGAGGCGAUGAAGGACGUGCUAAUCUGCGAUAAGCGUCGGUAAGGUGAUAUGAACCGUUAUAACCGGCGAUUUCCGAAUGGGGAAACCCAGUGUGAUUCGUCACACUAUCAUUAACUGAAUCCAUAGGUUAAUGAGGCGAACCGGGGGAACUGAAACAUCUAAGUACCCCGAGGAAAAGAAAUCAACCGAGAUUCCCCCAGUAGCGGCGAGCGAACGGGGAGGAGCCCAGAGCCUGAAUCAGUGUGUGUGUUAGUGGAAGCGUCUGGAAAGGCGCGCGAUACAGGGUGACAGCCCCGUACACAAAAAUACACAUAUUGUGAGCUCGAUGAGUAGGGCGGGACACGUGGUAUCCUGUCUGAAUAUGGGGGGACCAUCCUCCAAGGCUAAAUACUCCUGACUGACCGAUAGUGAACCAGUACCGUGAGGGAAAGGCGAAAAGAACCCCGGCGAGGGGAGUGAAAAAGAACCUGAAACCGUGUACGUACAAGCAGUGGGAGCACGCUUAGGCGUGUGACUGCGUACCUUUUGUAUAAUGGGUCAGCGACUUAUAUUCUGUAGCAAGGUUAACCGAAUAGGGGAGCCGAAGGGAAACCGAGUCUUAACUGGGCGUUAAGUUGCAGGGUAUAGACCCGAAACCCGGUGAUCUAGCCAUGGGCAGGUUGAAGGUUGGGUAACACUAACUGGAGGACCGAACCGACUAAUGUUGAAAAAUUAGCGGAUGACUUGUGGCUGGGGGUGAAAGGCCAAUCAAACCGGGAGAUAGCUGGUUCUCCCCGAAAGCUAUUUAGGUAGCGCCUCGUGAAUUCAUCUCCGGGGGUAGAGCACUGUUUCGGCAAGGGGGUCAUCCCGACUUACCAACCCGAUGCAAACUGCGAAUACCGGAGAAUGUUAUCACGGGAGACACACGGCGGGUGCUAACGUCCGUCGUGAAGAGGGAAACAACCCAGACCGCCAGCUAAGGUCCCAAAGUCAUGGUUAAGUGGGAAACGAUGUGGGAAGGCCCAGACAGCCAGGAUGUUGGCUUAGAAGCAGCCAUCAUUUAAAGAAAGCGUAAUAGCUCACUGGUCGAGUCGGCCUGCGCGGAAGAUGUAACGGGGCUAAACCAUGCACCGAAGCUGCGGCAGCGACGCUUAUGCGUUGUUGGGUAGGGGAGCGUUCUGUAAGCCUGUGAAGGUGUGCUGUGAGGCAUGCUGGAGGUAUCAGAAGUGCGAAUGCUGACAUAAGUAACGAUAAAGCGGGUGAAAAGCCCGCUCGCCGGAAGACCAAGGGUUCCUGUCCAACGUUAAUCGGGGCAGGGUGAGUCGACCCCUAAGGCGAGGCCGAAAGGCGUAGUCGAUGGGAAACAGGUUAAUAUUCCUGUACUUGGUGUUACUGCGAAGGGGGGACGGAGAAGGCUAUGUUGGCCGGGCGACGGUUGUCCCGGUUUAAGCGUGUAGGCUGGUUUUCCAGGCAAAUCCGGAAAAUCAAGGCUGAGGCGUGAUGACGAGGCACUACGGUGCUGAAGCAACAAAUGCCCUGCUUCCAGGAAAAGCCUCUAAGCAUCAGGUAACAUCAAAUCGUACCCCAAACCGACACAGGUGGUCAGGUAGAGAAUACCAAGGCGCUUGAGAGAACUCGGGUGAAGGAACUAGGCAAAAUGGUGCCGUAACUUCGGGAGAAGGCACGCUGAUAUGUAGGUGAAGUCCCUUGCGGAUGGAGCUGAAAUCAGUCGAAGAUACCAGCUGGCUGCAACUGUUUAUUAAAAACACAGCACUGUGCAAACACGAAAGUGGACGUAUACGGUGUGACGCCUGCCCGGUGCCGGAAGGUUAAUUGAUGGGGUCAGCGCAAGCGAAGCUCUUGAUCGAAGCCCCGGUAAACGGCGGCCGUAACUAUAACGGUCCUAAGGUAGCGAAAUUCCUUGUCGGGUAAGUUCCGACCUGCACGAAUGGCGUAAUGAUGGCCAGGCUGUCUCCACCCGAGACUCAGUGAAAUUGAACUCGCUGUGAAGAUGCAGUGUACCCGCGGCAAGACGGAAAGACCCCGUGAACCUUUACUAUAGCUUGACACUGAACAUUGAGCCUUGAUGUGUAGGAUAGGUGGGAGGCUUGGAAGUGUGGACGCCAGUCUGCAUGGAGCCGACCUUGAAAUACCACCCUUUAAUGUUUGAUGUUCUAACGUUGACCCGUAAUCCGGGUUGCGGACAGUGUCUGGUGGGUAGUUUGACUGGGGCGGUCUCCUCCUAAAGAGUAACGGAGGAGCACGAAGGUUGGCUAAUCCUGGUCGGACAUCAGGAGGUUAGUGCAAUGGCAUAAGCCAGCUUGACUGCGAGCGUGACGGCGCGAGCAGGUGCGAAAGCAGGUCAUAGUGAUCCGGUGGUUCUGAAUGGAAGGGCCAUCGCUCAACGGAUAAAAGGUACUCCGGGGAUAACAGGCUGAUACCGCCCAAGAGUUCAUAUCGACGGCGGUGUUUGGCACCUCGAUGUCGGCUCAUCACAUCCUGGGGCUGAAGUAGGUCCCAAGGGUAUGGCUGUUCGCCAUUUAAAGUGGUACGCGAGCUGGGUUUAGAACGUCGUGAGACAGUUCGGUCCCUAUCUGCCGUGGGCGCUGGAGAACUGAGGGGGGCUGCUCCUAGUACGAGAGGACCGGAGUGGACGCAUCACUGGUGUUCGGGUUGUCAUGCCAAUGGCACUGCCCGGUAGCUAAAUGCGGAAGAGAUAAGUGCUGAAAGCAUCUAAGCACGAAACUUGCCCCGAGAUGAGUUCUCCCUGACCCUUUAAGGGUCCUGAAGGAACGUUGAAGACGACGACGUUGAUAGGCCGGGUGUGUAAGCGCAGCGAUGCGUUGAGCUAACCGGUACUAAUGAACCGUGAGGCUUAACCUU
rnacentral:rRNA from 1 species